rnacentral:rRNA from 1 species
UGGGGAAUAUUGCACAAUGGGGGAAACCCUGAUGCAGCGACGCCGCGUGAGUGAAGAAGUAUUUCGGUAUGUAAAGCUCUAUCAGCAGGAACGAGACAAGACGGUACCUGACUAAGAAGCCCCGGCUAACUACGUGCCAGCAGCCGCGGUAAUACGUAGGGGGCAAGCGUUAUCCGGAAUCACUGGGUGUAAAGGGAGCGUAGACGGCUGAGCAAGCCUGAAGUGAAAGGCGGGGGCCCAACCCCUGGACUGCUUUGGGAACUGUACGGCUGGAGUGCAGGAGAGGUAAGUGGAAUUCCUAGUGUAGCGGUGAAAUGCGUAGAUAUUUGGAGGAACACCGGUGGCGAAGGCGGCUUACUGGACUGUAACUGACGUUGAGGCUCGAAAGCGUGGGGAGCAAACAGG